CUUGAUAUGGCCCAUGUUACAUAUUAUACAAUAUGUACCCGCUUGUCAGUUAUUUUUAAUGUUGCUAAACACUGUGACACCUUCCCACUUUAUAUUAAUGUGAGUUUUUUUGCUAUAGCCCCUGUGCAGGCACCAAUACAUUUUGCCGCCCCCUCAUGAAUGCAACUACAUUCCUCCACAGGUUUAGGUUUUACUCACUAAAAUCUGAAUUGCAGUGAAGAAACAUUUAGGGAAAGAGACACACUGAGUAGACAUUAAAGGAAAACUAUAGUGCCAGGAAAACAAACUUGUUAUCCUGG